rnacentral:rRNA from 1 species
CAAGCGUUAUCCGGAUUCACUGGGUUUAAAGGGUGCGUAGGUGGGCUGGUAAGUCAGUGGUGAAAUCUCCAGGCUUAACUUGGAAACUGCCAUUGAUACUAUCAGUCUUGAAUACCGUGGAGGUCAGCGGAAUAUGUCAUGUAGCGGUGAAAUGCUUAGAUAUGACAUAGAACACCAAUUGCGAAGGCAGCUGGCUACACGAAUAUUGACACUGAUGCACGAAAGCGUGGGGAUCAAACAGG